AUUGAACGCUGGCGGCAGGCCUAACACAUGCAAGUCGAACGCGUGGCGGACGGGUGAGUAAUGUCUGGGAAACUGCCCGUUGGAGGGGGAUAACUACUGGAAACGGUAGCUAAUACCGCAUACCAUCUGAUGUGCCCCGAUGGGAUUAGCUUGUGGGUGGGGUAACGGCUCACCUAGGCGACGAUCCCUAGCGGGUCUGAGAGGAUGAACAGCCACACUGGAAAUGAGACACGGGCCAGAGUCAGACGGGAGGCAGCAGUGGGGAAUAUUGGAAAAGGGGCGCAAGCCUGAUGCAGCCAUGACGCGGGUGUGAAGAAGGCCUUCGGGUUGUAAAGUACUUUCAGCGGGGAGGCGUGACCCGCAGAAGAAGCACAGGCUAACUCCGUGCCAGCAGCCGCGGUAAUUC
rnacentral:rRNA from 1 species